GCUCGCGCAAAGUUGUCAGCGCGCAGAGACCAGAGUCUGAUGCUGUGGUCAAAGUGAACAGGCACGAGCGUCCGCAUUCGAUAGUGCAGCUGUACACAUGCGCCAUGUUGUCUAAGAGGAGGUUCAUAGUUACGAGCUUGGAUACCAUGGAUGUCCUUACGGGCACUUCUGAAAUAUUUUGGAGCACCCUCUGGCACUGGCCAGGAUGAGGAGCCAUCCACCUCCUCAGCCACACAGGCCUCUUCAGAAAUGUUGCAGAAAUUUGCUUCCACUUCUCCCCAGCAGGAUUCCUCAGAAAUGCCUGUAGCAGCAUCCCCACCAAAUCCUGCAGCUGAGGAUGAACCACUGUCUACAGACCCUGCUGACUGGCCUUCAGUUCUGACUAACAGAAUUCGGACACAACUAGUUUGCAGAGGACCAAGUGAGGUACCACCUAACGUUGUCUUCCCAAGGAAUGAGAGUAAUGUAAGAAGAUGCCACCACCAGUAUUUCAGGAAGACCUUGUUGAGUGGUGAAAAAAUCCCUAGAAGUUGGUUGGUGUAUUCUGAAAGAAACAUCAGCCUCUUCUGCUUCUACUGCAAACUCUUUUCUAGUAAGAAAAUCAAUUUAGCAAACUCAGGACUGACAUCACAUCACCAGCUACCUUGGCCACCAAAUACAGAAUGAACUCAAUGAUUUGUUGAGCAGCAAGGUCAUUUUAAUAAAGGUGAGUAACAUCAAGCUGGCAAAACUAUUCUCUAUCAUUCAAUUUAUUGGAGGCAGAAGAGUCUACGGGCCAACAUUUGGCAUCACUGAUUCUUAAAAAUUAUUUUGAGUACUGCAGAGGACAGUCUUAUGAUAAUGGGGCCAACAUGAGAGGCAAAAACAAAGGUGUCCAAGCCAGACUCCUAGAAAUGAUUCCAAGAGCUCUAUUUGUGCCAUGUGGGGCUCCCACAUUGAACCUGGUUGUGGCUGAUGCUGCUAAAAGUUAUGUCGAUGCCACAGGUUACUUUGGCAUCUUAUACAAGCUGUACACCUUGUUCCCAGCCUCCACACACUGAUGGGCCUCCCUGAAAAAACAUGUGGACAUCACUUUGAAGAUGUGGACUGAGACAAUGUGGGAGAGUAAAGUUAAGUGUCGAGCCACUGAGGUAUCAGGCAGCAGCGGCUAGAGAGGAACUGACUGAGGUGAGGGAUCAAACCAAAGACCCAGUGAUAAAGAUUGAGGCCCAGUCCUUGUCAGAGGAGGUGGGAUCAUACCGCUUCAGCAUCUGUACAGUGGUGUGGUAUGACAUCUUAAGCCAGAUCCAACAUGUGAGCAAGCUGAUACAGUCUCCCAGUAUGCAUGUGUAUGUUGCAGUCAGUCUUCUCAGAAAGACAGAGAGGUCUCAGCAACUACAUGGCAACAGGCUUUAUGACUGCACAAACGUCAGCCAAGGAUAUUUGCGAGGGUAUGAAUGCAGAGGCCGUUCUACAACAAAGAAGGCUGAGGUCUACAAAGCAGCACUUUUCAUACGAAUCAUUUGAUGAGCCUUUGAGUGAUGCCCUGAAGAAGCUGGAGGAGACAUUUUUCAAUAUUGUUGUUGAGCCCUUCAGGAAAGAUUUUCCACAUUGGAAAAUGUGGGAGAGAAGUUUGGAGUGCUGUCAACCUUCCCCAGUGUUGAGGAUCAGCGGGGUGCUGAUGUUGUUUCCUACCUUCACCUCCUGGGGGCGGCCCUUCAGAAAGUCCAGGACCCAGUUGCACAGUUUAAACAGCUUGUAAAAUUCCAGAAAAUUGUGUCAUGGCUUUCGAAGCUUCUGGUAGGCUAAUUGACAUCAUUUGAGUCAAUUGGAGGUGAACCUGUGGAUACAAUUUACAAACGCCUGAAGGUACCACAUUCAUCUGUAGAAUAUUUGCAUGAAAAUCUGUCACCAAUUGGUUGGAAACCUAGCUACUGCUAAACAAUAUGAGUCGUGUAGGUGUAACGUAGACGGCUGGAGUCGAGAAGCAAGUGGUAAGUUUAAUAUAACUUCGAGCAACGAUGGAGCGGAAGUUCCUGACGAAACAGUGGUAGAAGUUGUCAAACCCCAAAAACCGUUGUAACCCCUUUAUGGUGGUUGGGACUAGCCAUAACCUUGGUACCCGAAUCUGUGAUUUUCAUCCUCGACCAUGAGAUGGUGAGUUUGUGGCAUUGAAGCCAAGGGAGACCGAGGAUGAACAUGUGAGCUGGUGCACUGGUGAUGAAGAAGGGAAUGUUCUCCUGAUGGAUGGACUCCACAGUGAGGGAGAAAAGGGUUUGGUUAUGUGUGUGAUGGUCCCGGAACCUAAUGGCCGAUUAUUGAGGCUUGAACUGGGAAAGGAGAGGAGAGCGGGUAUGGGGUGAUGUUGAGAGAGGAGGCAAGGGUCUGGUCAAUAAAGCACCGGAAUCCACUAAUGCUGUAGAAACAGUACAUUAGGGACAGUCAACUAGUGCAAUCGACACCCAAAAGAGUUUGGCAGAAAGUGAUGGAGGAGAUACUCCUGGUGGAAGAUCACGUGACCGUCCCUCUGCUCUCGUAGAUCCCGAGUUGGGAAGUACCGGAUAAGGGGGAGGUAAUGAGUGAGGUAAUGGAGUCCAGGUGUGCUUAAUGAUGAAGCGCAGGUCCGCGUAAUGAUGAAAGCCAGGUGCGCGUAAUGAUGGUUCCCAGGACCUGUGGUAAGUAAACCGGCGAGGUCGAACACCGGAGGGGAGGUGCGGGAGUAGACAUGACAGUAGGUAAGAUGGGUUGGGCAUUAGAUGACAGAAGGCUGUUCAAUACUGAGCCAUGCUGAUUGACAAGUGGCGUGUAUUGGUACAGGGCAAUUCCACUGUAACAAAUUGAUGCUGAUACUCAGAUUUUUUACUUUAAAAUGCAUGUCAAACAAACCAAUGAUUGCAAAUUGUUAAAAGUAGGCCUUAUGCAUAUAGUUGUAUGGUUUCUUUCACUUUGAAGUCAUUGGUUUUUGUUUGACAUGCAUUUUAAAGUAUCACUUUCUCAGCAUCACUCUGUGACCGUGGAAUUGCACUACAGCUCGACUCAGUCCAGUCUCAUAUUGCGUGUGUUAACUUAUGUGGCUAAAUGAUUAUCCAUAGUUGCCUCUUUUGAUACAGCCACAGCAGUCUUAAAAUGGACUGCAAAAUGAAGAUGUUAAAACAAUUUAACUCUGUCUGUGACAUUUCCUGACUAUCUUAUUUCCCUCUCUCUCACUCCAGUUGUUCUCAGAAGACAGGUCAGUGUGUGUAGAGAGAACACUAUUUGACCAGGUAGUAAGGCUUCUACAGCAUCGGCCUGGACCAGUACACCAAAGAGGCAGAGGACGCCACGUUUGGACCAAUUAUGCUGAUGCCCCCCUGUAAUAACCUAGAGAUCUGGUUCUGCGCCAGGGUCACUUUCCGGCACCCAGGACACCUUCCGGCGACUGGGACUUCUUCCAGUGCUACUGUUGACUAGAGCAGGGGGUUCCCAAACUUUGUCACUUGGGGCCGCCCUUCCAGCAUUGGGGAACAUCCCGCUCCCACGUCUAUUUCUAUGGACAAAAGCACUGUUCAUGACACAAACUGUUCACACCCUUUUUGUUGUUGGAGAGAAUGUUGCAGGUUUAAAGCUUAUUUCCUGCAAUUCUACACAUUUUGUCAUGGAGUGCAAAUAACAUUUUGCCGUUUUAAAGCUCAUUUUCUUGCAAUUCUAUACAUUUUGCCAUGUCUAAUGUGUAUGUAUGUGAUAUUUGAAGGACUAUGAAAUUACAAUGAUAUCUAUGGGCUAAAAAAACUUCAACAUAUUUUUUUUGCUGACAUGGGCUAGUUGAUCUGGACACUUCUGACAAGUUAUAAAUAGCUCUCUAAGGUAUGAAAUGACUAACAUGAUAAGAGGAACUGAUGAUGCACUACCCAAUUUUGAAAUUGCACCUUGUGCAUUCUACUAUUACAACUUUAAAGAGUAAGUUUAAA